rnacentral:rRNA from 3 species
AGAGUUUGAUCCUGGCUCAGGAUGAACGCUAGCGACAGGCUUAACACAUGCAAGUCGAGGGGCAGCAUGAUUUGUAGCAAUACAGAUUGAUGGCGACCGGCGCACGGGUGAGUAACGCGUAUGCAACUUACCUAUCAGAGGGGGAUAGCCCGGCGAAAGUCGGAUUAAUACCCCAUAAAACAGGGGUCCCGCAUGGGAAUAUUUGUUAAAGAUUCAUCGCUGAUAGAUAGGCAUGCGUUCCAUUAGGCAGUUGGCGGGGUAACGGCCCACCAAACCGACGAUGGAUAGGGGUUCUGAGAGGAAGGUCCCCCACAUUGGUACUGAGACACGGACCAAACUCCUACGGGAGGCAGCAGUGAGGAAUAUUGGUCAAUGGCCGAGAGGCUGAACCAGCCAAGUCGCGUGAAGGAAGAAGGAUCUAUGGUUUGUAAACUUCUUUUAUAGGGGAAUAAAGUGGAGGACGUGUCCUUUUUUGUAUGUACCCUAUGAAUAAGCAUCGGCUAACUCCGUGCCAGCAGCCGCGGUAAUACGGAGGAUGCGAGCGUUAUCCGGAUUUAUUGGGUUUAAAGGGUGCGUAGGUGGUGAUUUAAGUCAGCGGUGAAAGUUUGUGGCUCAACCAUAAAAUUGCCGUUGAAACUGGGUUACUUGAGUGUGUUUGAGGUAGGCGGAAUGCGUGGUGUAGCGGUGAAAUGCAUAGAUAUCACGCAGAACUCCGAUUGCGAAGGCAGCUUACUAAACCAUAACUGACACUGAAGCACGAAAGCGUGGGGAUCAAACAGGAUUAGAUACCCUGGUAGUCCACGCAGUAAACGAUGAUUACUAGGAGUUUGCGAUACAAUGUAAGCUCUACAGCGAAAGCGUUAAGUAAUCCACCUGGGGAGUACGCCGGCAACGGUGAAACUCAAAGGAAUUGACGGGGGCCC